rnacentral:rRNA from 1 species
AUGUCCAGUGUAUACGCUUGCAUGUUGUGCUUCUUCCUUGCCGUGCUAAAUCCGGUGAACCUCGCCCUCGGCGCUGCCGGAAGCGGCAGUGCGGCCGGAUUCAGCCUGCCCCUCGUGCCCCACUACCGCACUGCAGCCGGCGUACUCGAGGAGCUCCUGCCGGAAGGUGAUGCCGAGGGCGGCGUGAACAUCACGUCCAUACGCCCCAAGAUGAUCCCAUAUUCGGGGCCCCUCUACAGCGUCCGUGUGGGCGUCGGCAGCGGCGCAACCCAGCACUUCUACAAGCUCGCGCUGGACCUCGCUCGCCCACUAACGUGGAUGCAGUGCCAGCCCUGCGUACCGGAGAAGAGGCAGGACGGCUCCGUCUUCAACACCGCCGUCUCCCCUCAUUACCACUACGUUGCGUCCACAGAUCCUCGCUGCACGGCUCCGUACGGGCGCGCCGGCCACGGCCGGUGCAUCUUCGACGUCGAGUUCCAGUACGGUGGCUCAAGCGCGCAUGGCAUCCUUGGCCGCGACGACUUCGUCUUUGACGGAAGCGGCCCCGGCAGCCCCAUCAGUAGCGUCGGCGGCCUUGUCUUCGGCUGCGCACACAGCACGCACGGGUUCGAUAACCGCGACGUCUGGGCCGGCGUCAUGAGCCUCAACAGGCACCCGACCUCCUUCAUCCGACAGCUCUCGGACCGCGGCCUCGCCGGCUCGCGCUUCUCCUAUUGCCUCGUCGGCAAGGAGCACGAGCACCUCCACCGGCGUGGCUUCCUCAGGUUCGGGGCAGACAUCCCGGACCAGUCGCACGCACGGAGCGCGGCGCUGCUGCACUGGGACCUCGCCAAGGGAAGAGGCAUGUACUACGUCAACCUCGUUGGCGUCAGCCUGGGUGGGCGAAGGCUCACGGCGAUAACGCCGGCGAUGUUCAAGUUCGACCCGCACAGCCUCCGCGGUGGGUGCACCCUCGACGUCGGGACGGUGUACACCUUGAUGGCCCCGCCCGCAUACCAUGUCCUGGCGGCCGAGGUCGUGAAGCACAUGCAGCGCCAUGGGGUGCACCACGCGAUAUUGCCCCCAGCGCAGAAGCUCUGCUUCCAUGGGACGUGGGACAGUAUCCGCGCGCACUUCCCGAGCGUGACGCUCCACUUCUACCCGGAAGCUCCACAUGCAUCGCUCUUUAUCAAGCCGGAGCUGCUGUUUGUGGAGACGAUGCAUCAGCAUACCCACUACGCGUGUUUCGCCAUAGCGGCAUACGCAGAGAGGACGGUGAUAGGGGCGGGGCAGAUGUUGGACACGCGCUUCACGUUUGACCUCCAACACAACCGCCUCUUCUUUGCUCCGGAGGAUUGCCAUCUAGACACUGUGCAGUUAACUAGCUAG